rnacentral:misc_RNA from 2 species
ACCUGCGGAGGGAUCAUUACAGAGUCGCAAUACUCCGUAAACCAUUGUGAACGUUACCUUAACCGUUGCUUCGGCGGGCGGCGCCCGGGCCUCACCGCCCGCGGCGCCCCCAGGCCCCCCUGUGGGCGCCCGCCGGAGGUACACCAAACUCUUGCAUUGUAUGGCCUCUCUGAGUAUUCUGUACUGAAUAAGUCAAAACUUUCAACAACGGAUCUCUUGGUUCUGGCAUCGAUGAAGAACGCAGCGAAAUGCGAUAAGUAAUGUGAAUUGCAGAAUUCAGUGAAUCAUCGAAUCUUUGAACGCACAUUGCGCCCGCCAGUAUUCUGGCGGGCAUGCCUGUUCGAGCGUCAUUUCAACCAUCAAGCCCCCGGGCUUGUGUUGGGGACCUGCGGCUGCCGCAGGCCCCGAAAAACAGUGGCGGGCUCGCUGUCACCCCGAGCGUAGUAGUUUACACCUCGCCCAGGGCGUGCCGCGGGUUCCCGGCCGUUAAACCCCCCAUACCACAAGGUGA